CUUGUGGGUUGGAUCAGAGCUUCUAGUGAGCAGAUUUGCACAAAUACUAUAUCUCUUAGAAGAUCUCUGCCUCCCAGUGGUCAACCUAAAUGUUUCAAGGUGUCCCCAGAGCUGAGGAUAAAAGCCAUCCUGAAUUUAACUUUGCAGCUGAGAAACACCAAAGCUGUCCUCAACAACUAUGGAAAUGAAACAAAGUCUUUACCCCUAGCAAAUAGUGAGCUUUCCAAGAUACUAUGUGUAUGUUUAUUCAGCUUUAAAUAAUACUUAAAAAUUUAACUGACUUUUGUUGCAUUUGUUCUUUGACAGUUUCAUCCGUGUAUAAAGUACAUCCUGAUUACUGUAACUCCCGCCCACUCUAAUCUCCUUCCCAACCCUAUUAACAACCCCCCAUAAUUCCUUCCUAGUAUUCAUGUUUCCUGUGUUUCUUUGUUUUGUUUUUUGGACUCACUGAAUUUAACCAGGGUCAUCUGCCUGACCAUGGGUUUGGAACUGUCCACUGGAGCCUGAUGGGUGUCUCAGUGGGCACUCAACUAAAGACAAUGACUGCCUGUCCCUCAGAGCCCAUUAGCGUCCAGUAUUUCAGCAGGGAGGAAUACAGAAUGUGGGCCACUCCACAACCCAGGAUUGAAAGCAGAUGUUUUGAGAAUUAGACAUAGCAUAGACCUGGCUAAACCUUUCCAUGUAGAAACACCACCACCAAUAUGAAAAUGACUAGGAAAAUAGAACAAUCAGGCUUUUCUUAGGUGGACAUUAAGUCUAGACCUUGGGGUUUAGUACACACUGGCUACAAGGGGAAGUUAUGUGAGAGGAGCCAUCAAGUGACUCUUGUGCUUAGAAUCAUGUGUCUGGAGGACAUGGGUAUGGGCCAUCUGUUUCCCUGUGCCAGGAAUGUACAUAUCUUAUUAUUUAAUCUCCCUGAAUAUAUUUGUGAAGCAGAGAAUUUCAGAUUGAUUUUAUAACUGAGUAUCUAAAAAUUAAGGUGAUUUUCCCAGACUGCAGUAAAUGGGGAGGGUGACAAAUUCAAAACUAGAUCUGACACAUGAUCACAUGACUCCCACUCUGUUUCCUAUGCUUUCACUGCUGACACUUAGGAGGGGAGAGGAAAAAUCUAAAAAAAAAAAAAAAUCCCACAAAGAUCCUCCUAUGCAGAACAGAUCUCUCUUGUAUUUUCCUCUUUUUUUUCUUUUUCUAGAAACAAAGUAUUUGUCCUCUCCUCUGGACUGAACAAAAUGGUUGCUAGGGAUAUGGGUACUUUAUUUUCGUUUUCUCCAUACCCAGAAUUGAACGUACAGCCUUGAGCAUGCUAGGCAAGCAUUCUAUCACUGAGCUACACCAUCAAACCUCUUUUUAUAAGGCAGGGUGUCACUAAGCUGCCUGGGCAAGCCUUGAACUUAUGAUCCUCCUGUUGUAGCUACCUGAGUAGCUUAACAAUUUAUUGCUCUUAUCCAAAACACACAACAGAAUGUUUGACAGACAUGCUUAAGCCUUUCACUGGUUGAUUGAGUAACCAUAGGCAACUGGAACCCAGAAAGCAUACUGAUGAAGACAUGUAGAAUGUUUCUUGAAGAUAUAUAUGUUUACUGAUGUAACAUUGACUCACUUGGAAAACUCACUGUUUUUUUUAAAUAAUGUUAUAAAUGACUUAUGAGAUUAUUUGAUAUUCACAUUAAUUAUGCUAUAGUGUUGUAUACACAAUAAAAAAGUAGGAAAUGUGAAAGAACAUUUCUCUUGCUAGAGUGAUCAUUGCUAGAAUUUUCUGAAUUGCACAAUCUUCCCUUUUUUUUCCUUCCUUCCCCUCCCUGACUCAGCAUUCAUCCCCUCCUCUAAAAGGGUAAGCUCUCUCAUGGGGGGACAGCUAAACCUGGUACACUCAGUUGAGGCAGGACCAAGCCCCUCCCUGCUGCAUCAAGAGUGAGCAAAGUGUCCGAUCACAGGUAAUGGGAUCCAGAAAGCCCGCUCAUGCACCGGGGAUAGAUCCUGAUCACACUGCCAGGGGCCCAUCAAACAGACCCAGCUACACAUCACUCUGCCAUAUGCUGAGGGUCUAGUUCAGUCCCACGCAGGUUCUACAGCUGUCAGUCUAAUGUUCAUGAGUUCCUGUGGGCUUGGUUCAGCUGUCUCUGUAGAUUUCCCUGUUAUGAUCUUGACCUCUCUUGCUCAUAUAAUCCAUUUUCCCUCUCUUUGACUGGAAUCCUGGAGCUUGGCCUGGUACAUGGUUAUGGAUUUCUGCAUCUGCUUCCAUCAGUUACUGGAUGAAGGCUCUAUGAUGACAGUUAGGGUAUUCGCCAAUCUGCUUAUCAGGGCCUUCUUCUACUGGUGGACUUAUAAACUAAAGAUGGGAAGUCUGAAUAUACAGGAGGCCUGCAGAGACGAGCUUCUAUUUGGAUGGCAUUUUUCCGCCUGGACCAUUUUCAGGAGAGAACCACAUGGUGGCAAUGUUGCAUCAUUCCUCACAAGCCCUUUGCCAACUGCCUAAUUCCAGCCAACACCUGCUUGAGAAGAGUACCCAGUGUCACACAACAAACCACCCACCCAGAAAUAAGGAAGCUGUCAGAAUCUUGGCAAAACCUCCUUUUGCCAAGCUGGGCUCCCAAAUGAGGCCUUAGGACGUAUCCUAGUGGGUUCUCUUGAAGAAAACUCUGCCAAUCCCCUUCCUUCUCUUCGCCUGCUUUCCACCCUUGGUGAUGGACCUGCUCCAGCUGCUUGGGUCAUCGCCUCCAGAGCAUGUGAUGAAGACUGGAUACUAGCUCCACUGUAAGAAGACAGAACAGAGAUGGCAGUAAGGGAAGGAUGGAACACAAGACGUGGAAAUUGCUGCUUUCUUGGAGCAUGUUCUCCUGGGUGCUGGUGAUGUCAGUGAACCUGUGCCUACUCUCGUCAGCCUGCUCCUGGCAGUGGUGGGCAGCAGAAGCCAAGAUGAAAGAGGAGAGAAUUAGAGGCAACUGAGACCUCACCAAGUCAUGCACCUGGGAGAUGAAAAGACCUAUGUUGGACAGCACAAGUUGAAAGCCAGCAUUAGAAUACUGUCUCCUCAACUUCCUGAAUAGAACACUAAUAGCACACAGACACUAAGAUCAACAGUUAAUAAAUGGGACCUCAUGAAACUGAAAAGCUUCUGUAAGGCAAAGGACAUCAUCAAUAGGACAAAACAGCAGCUUACAGAAUGGGAAAAUAUCUUCAGCAUCCCCACAUCUGACAGAGGGCUGAUUUCCAAAAUAUAUAAAGAACUCAAGAAAGUAGACAUAAAAAAAACAAAUAAUCCAUUUUAAAAAAUGAGGUGCAGACCUAAACAGAGAAUUCUCAACAGAAGAGUCUCAAGUGGCUGAGAAACACUUAAAGAAUUGUUCAACAUCUUUAUCCAUCAGGGAAAUGCAAAUCAAAAUGACUCUGAGAUUCCAUCUUAUUCCUGUCAGAAUGGCUAAGAUAGAAAACACCAGUGACAGCUCAUGAUGGACAGGAUGUGGAGCAAAGGGAACACUCCCCCAGUGCUGGUAGGAAAUUAAUAUGGCAGUUUCUCAGAAAAAUGAUAAUUGAUCUACCUCAAGACUCAGCUACAUACUCCUGGGUAUAUAUCCAAAGGAUGCUCACUAAUGCCACAAGGACACUUGCUCAACUAUGUUCAUAGCAAUUUUAUUAAUAAUAGCCAGAACUUAGAAAUAAUCUAGAUGUCCCUCAACUGAAGAAUGGGUAAAGAAAGUGUGGUUCAUUUACACAAUGGAGUAUUACUCAGCUGAUAAAAACAAUGACAUCAUGAAAUUCUAAGACAAAUGGAUGGAACUAGAAAAAAAAUCAUCCUAAAUGAGGUAACCCAGACCCAGAAAGACAAACAUGAGAGACUUCACCCAGCAACUGGUGGAAACAGAUGCAGAAAUCCACAGUCAAACGUUCGACCAAGCUCAGGGAAUCCUGCUGAAGAGAGGGAGGAACAAUUGUAGUAGCCAGAGGAAUCAAGGACACCACAAGAAAAUCUACAGAAUCAACUAACCUGGGACCAUAGGAGCUCACAGAGAUUGAAUUGACAACCAAGAACCCUACAUGGGACUGACCUAGGCACUCUGCGUAUAUGUUACAGUUGUGUAGCUUGGUCUUCUUGUGGCACUCCUAGCAGUGGGAGCAGGGGCUGUCUCUGACUCUUUUUCUGGGUUUUGGGACCCUACUUCUAAUACUGGGUCACCUUGCCCAGCCUUAGUGCAUGUGGAAGUGCUUAAUCUUACUGUAUCUCGAUAUGCCAUGUUUUGUUGAUAUUUAUGGGAGACCUGCCCUUUCCUAAACAGAAAUGGAGGAGGAAAUCGAUGGGGGAGGAGGAGACUGGGAGGAGAGGGAAACUGCAGCUAGGAUGUAAAAUGAAUAACAACUAACUAACUAACUAUGAAAUAAAACAGCUUAUCUUGAAAGAAUUGAAAAAAAAUAAAGAAUAUUGUCUCCUGCUUAGUCUGUUUCUAAGGAUACAGAGACUACCCACCUUAAAGACAUCUUCAAGUCACUCUUGAUUUGGGAAUCUGAAAUCACAACUUUGAUGAUAAGUGCAGUAUUCCCUACUCAUCAAGGAAACUUGCAACAGACAGAAACGACUACAGAAAACCACAGUCAAUCAAAAUGCAGAGUUGUGGAGCCCAGUUCCAAUGGAUACAUCUGUGAGACACUCCCACACUUAAGGCUCAGGCAACAUGGCAGAAGAAAGGGGAAAAAGAUUGUAAGAGCCAGAAGAUCGAGGAGUUUGCUGUGAGAUGUGUCUCCUAGUAAUGUCAGAAGCUGCACUCAUAAAGUUUCAUCGAUAUGACUGUCCAAGCAUGAGCGGAACAAGGACAACAUCAAUAGACAUACCAAAGUGGAAGGGAAAAGCCCAGGAGGCCUCAACCCUGUACAAAGACCUACAGGACUUCUGUUUCCUGAAGUUUCCUAUUUUCACGCAUGUAUACACGAUUAGGGAAAUGCAUUAAACAUUCGCCGCAAUCAAAAGCCAUGAGAAUAUGCAGUAUUGAAAGAGAAAUGAGCUGCAUAUGAAAAAGAAUGUGCUUUGGAAGAAGAACUAGUGCAGCCCUCAAACUGUGGCUGGGGUCAUUGUUGGAUUCUGAUAUAUUUCCUAGGGAAUCUUCGUAGUCUCAAAACUACUGCCCAGUGAUACUGAGCCAUCACUUUUCUUUCUUGUUGUGGUUUUCUGAAUUUGACUGGGUUUCUUUAGAAGUGAUGCAAUAUGUGACAGUAAUGGAUUAAAAAUGAAAGCAGAUAUGAGAUUCCAGAUGUCUGUCAUUAAACUAUACAGUGAAGAGCUUUAUAAAUAUGGAAAAGAACUCUACUCUUCUCAAUACUUUUUGAUUCUGAAAAUUAGC